rnacentral:rRNA from 1 species
UACGUAGGUGGCGAGCGUUGUCCGGAUUUACUGGGCGUAAAGAGCGCGCAGGCGGCUGGUCAAGUCCGAUGUGAAAGCUCCCGGCUUAACUGGGAAAUUGCAUCGGAAACUGAUCGGCUGGAAGGUGGGAGAGGGUAGCGGAAUUCCCGGUGUAGUGGUGAAAUGCGUAGAUAUCGGGAGGAACACCAGUGGCGAAAGCGGCCACCUGGCCCAUUCUUGACGCUGAGGCGCGAAAGCUAGGGGAGCAAACGGG